AUUAAAAAAUAAUAAUGUUCGUUUUGUCUAUUCUUAAUUUUCUUUUAAAAUAUUCAAGGUAUUUUUAAAUACUUAUAUUGCAUGAAAGCUCGAUUGCUAAAAAUAAAAAUGAGAAUAUUUGUACCUUUCCAUGCCCAAUCUUGUCCCACCCCCUCUUCUUUAAUUCUUUCUGGUUGAGGCUUUACUUCCUCAACCCCUCUAACCCAAUUUGAUUCACCAGCAAAUAAGUCAUUUAAAACCAUAUAAUAACAACAUAUCUCUGUAGCCAUAAUAGCAACAUUUUUCACUAUUCUUAAUGGAGUUUCUAAUUUGCAAUUCAUAAACAACGAAAUCAAAAUCCGAUCACUUCACCGGAUUCAACUUUAUUCAGCUAAAAGUACUUAAAUAUAGAAGGACAAGUAUAUAUUAUGAAACACUUAGUUCUUAUCAAACCUUAAAAUCAAUCAAAAAACACAUGCGAUUCGGUUCCUCCUCCUCCUUCUCCAACAGCAGUUGUCAAGACCAAACUGAUCCGUUUCCUCUUCAUUGGAAAUGAAACAGUGUUAUUACACCUUGGAAGCUUGUGAUUGUAGUUUAUACGUGAGUUUUUAUCAUGAAGUGGACAACGACAUUUACGGUGGUAAGGUCGACGUUCGACACAGUUGUCGUAACCAGAUAUGCUUCCUUCAUACAGCGACCAGAACAAGCCACCUCCGGCGGUUGCCAUGUGUGUCUCUCUCUCAAUCAAAUGAGAGGUUUAGUUUCUUCUUAUGCCAAUGUGUAUAGUUUCUCUCUCAAUCAAAUGAGAGGUUUAGUUUCUUCUUAUGCCAAUGUGUAUAGUUUCUCUCUCUCCUUUUAUUUAUAAUGGCAAGUUCUUAUUUACGCAUUUAAAAUAGUUGGGUAACUUUAC
rnacentral:lncRNA from 1 species